rnacentral:rRNA from 1 species
UUAUACUUUUGAAGCAAGCAUAUCUAAUUUAUAAUGUUAAUUUAAAUUAUAUGAAAAUAAAAUAUUCAUUUGCAGGUGAAAUUGUAUGAAUGUAUAAUUCUUAUUAUAAAUUUUUAAAACUUUUCAAAAAAUUAGGAUUAGAUACCCUAUUAUAAAAAUAUUAUUAAAUUAGGUAGUAAAGAAAUUUCGGAAACCUAAAAAAUUUGGCGGUGUUUUAUAUUUUUGGAGGAACCUGUUAUUUAAUUGAAAUUCCACAUCAAAUCUUACCUUACUUUUGUUUGUAUAUCGUUGUUUAGUCUAUAUCAAGAGAUAUAGACUAUUUUAAAAUUUUUAGAUAUAUCAAAUCAAGGUGCAGCAUAGUAGGGAUAUAAUGGGUUACAAUAUAUUUUAUAUAGACGGAAUUUAAAAUGAAAAUUUUCAUGAAGGUGGAUUCAAAAGUAAUAAAAAAAUAA